UUUAUUCUCCGAGUCAUUUAUGCUUUUUCACCUGAUGAUUUUAUCGUUCUUCAUGGUCACAGACACCUGGAAAGACUUACAUCCUCUUCCUAUCCCAUGACCUCUGCUGUCUCUCUCUGCAAGCAUUUUGUAACACGGUCAAAUCAGCUCCAUUACUGUCCAGUAAAACCAGCAAGGAGACCGUUUUUUUGACACCUUCACUCUCUUUUCUUCUCCUUGGCCACAUGGGGCAAAUUAAGGGAGUCUUUCCUUUUCUUUUCUUUUUUCUUUUCUUUUUCUUUCUUGUUUUUUCUUUUUUUUUUUUUUACAGCUGCUGGUUCAAAUCAUCAAGCAGUCAGAAACAGAGCAGGUUGCAGGAGUGUUGCUAGAGCUAGUCCAGAUGAAGCCUGAGAGACUUUUCUGAUCACCUGUGCUAAUAUUUCAAUGAAACACCCUCUCUGAUCUUUGCCAUUUAAUUUGGCAGAGGAGGGCGGAAAUGAAGAACACCUUUUUUGUGACUUCCCACACUCUUGUCUGUUUUUUACAAGCUAUGUAAUGAACCUGAUUAGGGUAAGGCAGCAUAGCAAGGCUGACCCGUUCCACUUGAGCAUUUGCUAUUGCAAUGUGAAGAAGAAAAACAAUCUCUGGACUAGAAUUUGAAGGAAAUUUUAGAUUUAUUUUAAUAAAAACACUUCAAAGCUACGCAAAAAGACAGGAGAGGUGACAAAUUAAGUAUGUAUGUCUGAUGUUUGUGUGAGAAAUUGAGGGAAAAGAUGCAAAAAUUCUCCAGCUAGCUUUGGCUGUCAUCUGCUUUUUUAAGAGUCCUUGUUUCAAUUAUCCGUCCCACCCCGAGGCCACACUUGUCCACUGCUGGAAGUGUGUUUGAGGACUUGUUGCUCAGAGAGUGUGACAGUCACUUCACACUCUUCUAGCUUGUUAACUGCCCCCAGAGACUUGCUGUCCAGCCUAGCCCCUAUUUAAACCUUACCGCCACAAUAAAAAAAAAAACUUAAGAGAAAAAGACCAGUCAACUCUCUCUCCAAAUUCCUAGCUCCAGCAACCCCCUCCCCCCCCCAAGCCAUUCCUGUCAACCUGCCGAUAUGUCCUGGUCCUCGGUGCCUGCCGGGCUCCUCAUCAAAGCUACUUUCAGCGCAGAUCUAUGUGGGCUCUUCGUAAAAAAUCACAGUCUUUCACCCUCAAUUAAAGCGCUCUGCCAGGUCUGUUAACUUCCUUCAGCUUUAUCUUCUCUCGCCUCUUGUCUUCGUCCUUGAAAGUCAGAUCAUCAGUCGCCACCACACAUGAGCUUUUACUUACUGGAAUUAGGAAGAGUCAGAAUGAGAAACAAACAUCAGCAUGGAAACAGAAUGUUUUCAAAGAGGUUUUUUUGUUUAGCGAUGAAGUAAGUUUUUUCACCAUAUUUGAAAACAUUUAAUUGUUUUUAUUUAAUAGGGACAAUGCAAUUAACAUAGCUUCAAUACAGUUCAUGAAUCCGAUGUGUUGCAUGUAGAGUUUUAGCUACAGCUAAUUCUCAAUUUUCUGAAUAUUGUUUGCAGACUUCACUCAGCAUUUGGCUUAUUGUUCUCUCAGUCAGCACUGUGUAGGAACUAAUAUUUCUCAGCAAAGUGAUAUAAAACCUUUGGAGAACAGGUGCCUUUGCUUCAGAAUGGAUGAAAGUGUAAAAUUUCUUUGCGAAAACACAAAAAAAACACGUCAUCAUAGUCAACUUUGCAAUGCUUUGCAGACUAAUCAAUUAGUGACUAUGACCUGAAGCAAAAUUGUUGUUCCAGAGAAGAAAUGAAAUUGAAUCUGACAGUACAAAUUUAAAGUGCUGGUUGCUUUCCUUUCCUGUUGCUGAGAGAGCGAGAUCAUUUGUUGCACAUGUUUAUGCUUAAGAUCAGGAUUCCAGCUAACUGUCCCAAGAGACUGAGUGCAUCAUUUAUAAACUCUUCAACUGUGUUAACCAUUUAUUGUUCCAUAAUAACAUUGCUAAUGUUCAAAGGAAAGUGCCAAUUGUAGUCUACAGUCCAAAAAUAGAAUGAAACUGAAUAUAAAAAAAGGCCACUGAGAUGUGUUUUUUUGCAUUUGCAAAAUUAAGCAAAACCGAAUAUGGCAAUGCAAGUUUUCUUUCUAGAAACCUGCUUUUACAUAGAAAGUAUAGCAAUAUUAAUAUUAUUUAAAAAUGAAAAUGAUGUAAGACUUAGUGCACACAGAUUGGUGCACUAUUUCAUUUAAUGCAACUUACAUAUUGCAUCCACUACUACAUAUUUAUAGUUCAUAGUCUUUUGUGUAAGAAAAAACCAAAAAACUGUAUUUGUUAGUCAUUUGUUAGAGAGGGAUCUUUCUACCAAAAAUAUCAUGUAAACACACAUCUGAACAAACAACACAAAGACAGCAAGAAAGACACCGAGAAGAAAUCUUCCUUUUGCUUGAAAUUCCCCCUAAUUAAAAUCAUACAAUCAUUCUAUGUACUGCAAAACUCCUCAGAAAUCAGAAUGCCUCGUGAGGUCAACAACAAAGCUUGGGCCUCAUGUGAAUGUCAGAUGUGGCAGCAGAUUGCUUUGUGGUGUCUUAGAAGCAAAUGUUUGGGCUCUGAGCUCAGUGCCAGAGCAGACACAAGCAUAACGUGUUUCUUUGUCUUAACGUCUUAACAUGUGAUAGCUUGCUGUUUUACAGUGUGAAUGUUUCAUGUUGAAAAUGGGGGUAAUUUGCAUGAUUUCAUGGCCAUAUACUAAGAGUUUAUUAAAUGUGCAGUGUUUAGAGUCUCGUCUGCAUUUACAAUUUUCUAAUUAGGACAGCACGCAAUCCACUGCAUUACUUCUAAUUUCAGAAACAAACAAGGGGACAAAUAACACCUCUUUUAAGCUGUAUAAGGAGGGUACUUCAGAAAGUUCUCUGCUUCACUCAGAAACAAGGAGCACAGCUCUCAUUCUGGGGCAUAACUGUAUACUAUAAAGCCUUAUAUCACUGUCCUCAAAAGGAGCUACAUUUUUUAUAUUGUCUUUGCAGGUGAUGCCCUUUAAAAAACAUUAGGUAAGAGGGAAACCCAAAAAUGGACAAGAAAGAAGCCAGAAAGUUUCACCAUCGUUAACAUCUUGAUUCACUCCUGACUUGGCAGAUUCACAAUUAAAGCGCCAUUAGUCAUGUGACCUGAAGGGACUAUACAUUCUGGAACUCCUCAUUAGUGAGAACUGAAGAAGCCUCUUGGAUGAGAGGUGAAACGUCUUCAAGAAUCUACAAGAGAAGUCCAGUUGCUUUGAACUGAAGCUCCUACAAUUACCAUGACCUGGAUGGCUGAGAAUCUACACAGACGUAUGGCCUCCAUUUGAUUGUCCAUGGUUGCUGAUUUUGAGCGUCCAGAGUGUGGGUCAUCUUCAGUGCUCAUUGUCCCGCUUGAAAUCAGCGACCCACUUCUUUACAGUUAAAUAGUGUUAGGAAUCCUCACCAAGUGUGUUGACCAUGUCGGUGCGGAUUUCCAUGGGCGUCUUUAACUUUUUAUGCAAAUACUUUAUCAGCUCUGGCUUCUUUCUUGUCCAUUUUUUGUUUUCCCUUUUACUCACUGAUUAUCAAAGAGCAUCAGAAUGAAGAAAUGAUAACCAACAUUUUUUUGUGGACUUUUGGAAUUACGGCUAUCGUUUUCAAGUGAGGCCGAGAUGUUUUUGAUUAUAGGCACAGUGAUGUUUAGAGCUAAAUGCUAACUCACCUCUGUCUCAGCUUAGGCAGAAGGGAUACUGCUAGAUUGGCAUUUGUUUGGUACGAAUUCUGGACAACUUAAAAUUUGGAUGAUGGCAGUGGACAAAAAGUUAAGGCAUUCAUCAUUAUUCAGAGGGCAUGAAUGGCAGUGGAAAGUCUGAUCUGUCCAUUACUUGGAUACUUGAUACUUGUUACUGGGAGAUUUCACUCAUAACUCCAAAUAUCAACCUUAUGAUAGUGUUAUGGUAAAUGUCAUGCGAUUUAUCCUCUGGGGACCAUGACUAUCCACACAAAAUCCCAUCCUAUUCCAUUUAAUAGUCAAAACCUUUCUGUCAUGACCGACAUUGUAGACUCACCAAUGGUCAGAGCAGCCAUUCCAUCUCUAGAGGCUGAAAAGAUCCAUGAUCUAGCUAGCUGCAGUUUAGCUUGAUCUCUAUUACAACUACCGCAACCAGGGUGGAUUAUACUGGAUCAUCCCUGAGCUGAGUUUAGCUGCGUUGCUUUGAGUAGCAUUGUGCUGAGUCGUGCAGGGUGGGUGUGCCGUGAACUGAGAACAGCGCUCUGAGAGCCGGGCACCCAAGGAGGAUGUUCUCAAGUGGAGGAACCUAAUCUUUCCCAGCAGGGAUCCAAGCGGCUCUCUAAGUGUAUGAAUAGAGAUAAUAUCUCUAUAAUGAGGCCGGUUUUGUACCAUCAAAGUCUUCAAAAGGGUCUGAAACCUGACCUCCCUCUUAGCACUGACAAUCCCCCAGUAAUAGCUCCCUAUUAUUAAUUGUUUUGCCUUCCUGCUAAAUCCGUGUCUCUCACCCUUGACCUAGUGCUUUUAGAUAUACUUGCACACUGCUAGUUUGGGAAUCAGUGCUUGAAAGGAGGGGCAUUUGUUUUCCUCGUUUUUCACAAAAUUCUUUCCAGAUACAAAACAAUCUUCUUCCUCUUAACUAUGCAUGCUGAAGUGCAUAAAGUCACAACACUCACAUCAGGAAAUUAUCUCCUGCAUUAUUAUUCAUGGGCAGUAAAUUCUCAUAAUUUCAGUGAUUGUGCAGUUUAUCGUUUCAGCACGUGCAACGCUGCCUGUUGGUUCAGACCCAAUGCAGGUGUGUGUUAUAUCUCUGAGCUGUGGUUGGCUGACGAACAUCCGGAUGCGGUUAAAGGAACUGCAGACCACCACGACUCAGCCUCACUGAGGACAUUUGCAUAUCCUGCUUCAUGACUAUUGUCUAUUGUAAGCGGUGUUAUGAUAAGUGGGUCAUCUAUCUGAUGCCGUGAAGAGUUCUGAGACAUGCAACCUGCCAGUUCUUCACAAGAUUGCAAUCCAAGAUCCAGCUGUCUGAUAAAAAAAAAUCUGUAGUGAUUGAACAUGUUUGCACAGCUAAUCUGGUCUAUCAUGAAAAAUAACACAGAUAGAACAGGAUGUAGCUGCUGGUGAUGUAAAAAAAAAACAGUUCUUCAAGUCAGUGCUGACUCGGCGUUUCUCCACUCUACUAAUGAAAAAGAAGAGUGUGUCGUUGCCUACAGGUACAGUAGCUUUGUCUGGAUGUUGAGGUUGACCUGCCAUCAUUAAAGUCUGUAGGAUACAUGAUUCUCUCAAAUUAUUCCAUUAAGAUACACUUGUAAAUAGGAGCAAGACACAUCCUAAGACAUUUUAACUGGCUCACUAAUUGAAUCCAUCUUAAAAUGUGUGUGAGGGGAAGCUCAGUAAGAGCAUGUGAGUCACAGUAGUCCAGUAAAGCCAAAGGAUCGUUCUAAUGUCUGUCUCACUGUAAUAGACAGUAAUUGACAUGCGUAAUGAGCAAGAGUGUUUGAAAUGUUUUCUCUGAAAGCUUACAGUUGAGUAGGCAAAAAAUAUUAAGGUAUCAGCUUUACUCCCAACGUGAUUUUUUUUUUUUUUUUUUACAUUUUUAAUAAGUGUAAAUUCAACUCUAAAUAUGACUCUUUGUUGUUGAGGAUGUCACAUAUAUGGAGGCUCAUGUAGGGGUCGCAGAAGAAGCCUUUUUUCCAGCACUAAUUCCAUGUAAGUGGUGCAGGCUGCACACACACACACACACACACACACACACACACACACACACACACACACACACACACACACACACACACACACACACACACACACGACUCACAGGCACACAGGAACACAUGCCAAAAGCAUUUAGCCAUACACGCAUCUCACAGUGAGAAGUAUCUCCAUCAAGUUUCCCUGGCCAGGUGAAGCCGUUUCAAAAAACAGCCCUCUCUCCAUCUGUUAAACAAAUAGGGAGCCCCUACAAAGGUGUGCAAAAGAAUCCACAUGAUCAAAGUGUACGAGAAUGGCAGCCUUGUCUUGGCCUGGCCAUUAUCAGGCCCCAUGAAUGCCUGUCUUCUCCUCUUUUGUCGGUUGGGGCAUUGACAGUCACUCACCCGGCAAUGACUGUCACACCAGCGCAAAGAGCCAGCCUCCGACAGGGGCCAACCACAUCAAACGAGGCUGUCAAGGGGCCCUGCUCGUGAACCGUGGCAACAAACACCUCCUGAUCCUCACCUACAGCUCAGCAGCAGACACCCACCGCUGUGCUCUCAGCCACUGCCUCCACUGAGAAAAGAUGUACUGCCCGGACCUCAUUUCCCUCUCCAUCCCCCUCCCUCCUCUCUCUCUCUCUCUCCCUCUGUCAAGUAGUGCUUGUGUUAACCUCCAGCCCGCCGACACACAAAGGGCUGCUAAAGUGUUUAAGAAUGCUUUAUGGAUGCAUGACAAGGGGAGGCUGACACUGCUGGGGGUCAGAAAGUACACAGGAUGUGAAUGAGAUAAAUUCAGUUUUACUUUCAUUUCAGAGCUGAGUCACGGCUGAUUUAAACUGUAUGAGGUUCGAACUUCAAAAGUCGAGCAGAAAAAGAAGACAAUAAUUUUCAACAGGCUGUAACAAGCGCUGGGGUUUAGGUCUGCAGGAGAACAGGAUGCAUGUUUAACUACCAGCUUCAGAUUACAUUAAUGGUCAUAAAUGUGACCUUGUAUACAGUGUUUUUUCUUUAUUUUUAGGAGAAGUUGGGAUGAAAUAAAAAUUGGCAUAACAACUGUAGUAAAUACUGUACAUGUGACGUGAAAACACACACCUGGAUUGAAUUUUGUGGCAUUUUAAGUGUCAGUUUCAGCCCUUAAAAGGGAGCUUGAAACAUUGUGAAUUUCACUUGAUAAUUUGUAGCAUUUAAAAGAUUUAUGCAAAUUAUUUUCCAGUUUUACAAAUUUACUCUUCAAUAUUUAUAUCUGCACAAGGGACGCUAGUUCAGGAGGUAGAUGGAUUUUCAAAAUUUGACCAAUUUUCUACACAGAUAAGCAGCAUACAAAAGAUUUCCAUCUUAAAUAUAACAAGUCCAACAAUGUUAAAGUUGCACAAAAAAGAUCUGUUAUAUGAAAGAAUCAGGUAUUUAUAUGGGGUGUGAAAUAGUAUCAUAUUGACCUCUAAUAUCAAAUUACAAUACCAUAUAACUUACUAUUGAAAUGACUAGAAGACGCCAAUUUUCACCUUGGUCUCCAGUUUGACCUCUACUUCCAUUUUUACUGACUGGGGUGAGACUGCCACCUGCAGGCCAAACGUGAUUCACUGUUUAUUUCAAACUAGCGAAGUCACUGAAAAGACAGAAGAAAAAAUCUAAAUACAUUUUGACACUCAGCAAUAAUUCAGUGUAGUUUCGCCCCUAAAAUAUUGAAAGGUGAAAUGUAAAUAAUAAAUCAUAAGCACAACAUGUGUUCUAACUAAAAGUUGUUAUUAUCUAAUUAAUGUUUGCCCUUUAAAUAUCUCCUCAUACUGUCCAGAAUUGACUCCAAGGAAUAAAGGCAAGGAAGGCAGAACAAACAGAAACUGGAAGUAGAGGUCAAGACAGAAGGCUUUGCCUAAGUACAGUUCUGCUGGAGGUUUUACUCAUAGGAAAUCUAUGAGUUCUAUUGGUUUUCCAUGUCUACUUUUGUCGAAUCUUAAUUUAAAAAAAGUCAAGGGAUUUAUUUGAGUAGAAAAUAUUAUACACUCUAAAAACAAAUGUUUAUAACAAACAAACAAAACAAAAAAAUGUAUGUAGCUAUUUGCAGUUAUGACAACUUCUAAUGAAGUUUUAUUGAACCGACAAACUAUAUUGACUUAAAGGAAUUACUGCACAGCGGAGUAGUGGUUAGCACUGUCGCCUUGCAGCGUCCCGGCUUUCCCGGGAUCUUUCUGCAUGGAGUUUGCAUGUUCUCCCUGUGCAUGUGUGGGUUUUCUCCGGGUACUCCGGCUUCCUCCCACAGUCCAAAAAUAUGCUGAGGUUAAUUGAUGAUUCUAAAUUGUCCGUAGGUAUGAAUGUGAGUGUGAUUGUUUGUCUGUAUAUGUAGCCCUGCGACAGACUGGCGACCUGUCCAGGUCUCCCCUGCCUUCGCCCCAAGCCAGCUGGGAUAGAUUCCAGCCCCUCCGUGACCCUAAUGAGGAUCAAGCGGUGUAUAGAUGAUGGAUCUUGCAACUAUACAAGAUUAUGUCCCCCAAUUUACUUGUUCAAGUUUAGGUUUUUAACUUUAACAACUAAGUUUGUCAGGAAAUUAGUAUUUUGUAUGAUACUGUAAAGGUCUUAAAGUUGUAUUUUAUUAUUGUAGGAUCUUAACCUUCAUAUUUAAAUCAUGCAGGUAAAUUUAUACAUCAGUGGUGCUAGAGGGUCUUAACUCAAAUUUAGCUGGUAACUUCCUUAGGCUCCUCGUAUUACUCUGCCAAGGAGUUGGUUUGUCUGUCUGUGUGCAACAUUACUCAAAAACGAACCAACGGAUUGACAUGAAAUUUUCAGGGAAGGUCAGAAAUGACACAAGGACCAAUUGAUUACAUUUUGCCAGUGAUAAGGCUUAUAGUGUGGAUCUACGAUUUCUGUAUCAUUGAUGGAGUCACUGUAACUACGACAAGUGGACACUCUGCCUGCUAACAAUCACAUGAUCCUACUACAAAUCGAUGACUGCGGACUUAUUGGGACUUUUCCAUCUGAAGUGAUACAUGAAAUAAGCAGCCUCGGCAGAGUACUGCGCUCUCUGAGUGCUUUUCUAGUUUCUCUUGUAGCACUUUGGCUCAACAGUUGCUGGUCUAAAUGAGCUAUUCAAAUAACAGUCACUUGACUUUUAAGGUUGUAUUGAUUUAAUAAUUAUCACUUUUAUGUGUAAAUAUUGACAUAUUGCCUUAUUCAUUCAUGCAUCUGUAAUCUUUCCUUACCAUAGUUAUUCUUUUCUUUUCACCCUCUACCCUGCAGACUUUUCUCAUCACACCACAAACUGCCAACUUCAGAAGUUCUCUGACAACUCCGCCAUCGUCGGCCUCAUCACGGAUGGAGAUGAGGAGGAGUACAGAGAACUUAACCGGGACUUUGUGGACUGGUGCCUGCUGAACUGUCUCCAGAUCAAUGCGGUGAAAACCAAGGAUCUGGUGGUGGACUUUAGCAGGAACAGACACACUUCUCCUACACCAGUGAACAUCCAGGGAACGGACUCUUACAGGUACAUGGGUGUUCACUUAAACAAGAAACUGGACUGGACUACUAACAUCAAUGCACUCUAUAAGAAAGGUCAGAGCAGACUCCACCUGCUCAGGAAACUGUGGUUCUUCAGGGUGCAGGGAGCACUUCUGAGGACAUUUUAUGAUUCUGUGGUGGCAUCAGUUAUCAUGUAUGGAGUGGUCUGCUGGAGCAGCAGCAUCACGGCUGCAGACAGGAAGAGACUGAACAAACUGGUAAAGAAAGCCAUCUCUGUCCUGGGCUGCCCCCUGAAUCCUGUGGAGGUGGUGGGAGACAGGAGGAUGAUGACAAAGCUCCUGUCUAUCAUAGAGGACACCUCCCACCCACUGUUCCCUCUAAACUGCGCGCGUGCGCAAUUGCGCACUGCUGACACGGUCUCCGCGCACAGAAAAUCUGCACUGCACACACAAAAAAAAAAUCCAACCUAAAUUGUAAAUAAAAUAAAUACGUAACAUUUUAUUCUGUGCUAUUUUUCAGUGUGAGUCAGUGAGUGACCGGUGACUGGCUGCUGCAGCCAAUGAUGCGAUUCACAUACGUAUUUACCAUAGACUGUAUAUAAUGGUAUUUACGCAGCUAAUCAACGUCAGGCGUCCUUAUGUGCAGCCACCUUUGUUCUCAUAGAUAUGAAUGAGUAGAUAGGACAUGCCCCUUUGAGCUGCGGUGCUACUGCUAGGCUAAGCUAGUGGGGGAAAAGUUUCAGUGCAUUCUGUUGAUGUAGACGGCGUGAAAACGGAAACAAGUAUGCCGGCUCACUGUGCUGCAUACAAUUACACACUGUGUCGUACGAUUGAGACAUGGAAACUUGGAAUGACUUUUCAUAGGUUUCCCAGAGACUAUGGGUUGAGGAGGAAUUGGAAGUUUGUCGGCUUAGACCUGGUGUCAUUCCAUCAGUGUUAAACUUCCCGGCUCAUCUUGGAAGAGUACGUGCCAGAAAGACCACGACCAAGCAGCCUUGAGAUCUUAGGCAGCUUCUCCCUGAGGUCCCUCUCUAUCUCCCCACACAUCCACCAACCACUGGAACACAUCUCCAAAGUUCUGCUGGACCAGCUCAGCUUCCCCUCAGAAGAAGUGGCGCCCCCUGCCAGAUGAAGGAGCCUUUUGAGAGGCAGCUGGCAUCGUGAUUGGACUGUACUUUGGUCUGUUCCAAUCCAGCUUCAGCUCCAGAGACGGCAGGCGGGACGAGUCAGCGGAGGCCGGAUGGACGAAGGCAUGCAGCUGAGUACAAUCCAGAAAACAACAGAGGAAGAAACAAACAUAGUGUAUACAUCAUAUACUGUAUAAAAGACACAUCCACUGUAGAACUGUAGUAAUUGUGGGCUGACUGAUUUACUGAUUAUCAGUAUUUUAUUUUUUACUGAUUUACGGUAAUAAAUACAUUUAAAAAUGGU